GUGUUCUUUACGUGUGAGGACCGAGGGCCACCUGAAUUGAAACAACCAUCAGGAAUGGGCUAUGAGCAGGAAUCCCUGCUCCAAACCUUAAUGAACUCCUGGUUGCGUUUUAGAGUGCCAUCUUGGAGCUCUUGACAGCGAUAUUGCCUGUGAGUCCAGUUCCAAUACAACAUUAGCUUGAAGACGUGGAACCCUUGCCAACAACAGUACCAGCACUCACCAUGUGGAUUACAGAUGUUGAAGAGGCAAUAAUGGAUCUUCCUUUUAAAUAAAAACCUUAGGGUGGUUCACAAUGCCUGGUUUGCCAUGAUGCACUUCACUAGGGCAAGAACUUUCAACAGGUCUUUGAAUACCUGCGGUCGGAGUGGAUGUGUCAGCAUCACAUCUCUAUGAGUUGUAUCCUCAUGCUCCAUUUGGGUGCCUCAGCUGUUACUAAACUGCAAUGUUGAGAGAGAACUGCAGUAUCGGAGGUGCCAUAUAUUGAAUGAGACCUUGAACUGACGCACCUCUGUCUCUCCCAUGGAAGUUGAAACCUGCAGUGACACUGUUAUGUAAAAAAAAACUAAAUAGUUCUGCCAGCAUCUUAGUAAAUAAUUACACCUCAGCUGGUUUCAGUUUAAGAGGUUGUCUGGAGUUUAUUGCACUCUUCUUUGUGGGAUGUUGUUGAUAAACUGACAUAAUUACAUAGAUAAGCUUUAUUUGUCACAUGUACAUUGAAACAUACAGUGAAAUGAGUCAUGUGUGGCAAACAUCAACAUAUCCAAUAUGCACUGGGGGCAGCCCCCGGGUGUCACCAUGCUUUUGACAUCAACAUAACAUGCCCACAGCUUACUGACUGUAUCCCAUACAUCUUUGGAAUGUGGAAGGAAACCAGAACAUCUGGAGGAAACCCACUUGGUCAUGGGGAGACAGUACAAGCUCCUUACAGACAACAGUGGGAAUUGAAUACUGAUUGCUGAUCACUAUUGUUGUAAAGCAUUACUACCGUGCCAACUUGUGAGAAUGGAAUGAAGAGUUAGACAAACAGAUUUAGAAAAGGAAAGGUGGACAGAAGCUCAAAUUAAUCAGAAAGCCAACCUGGAUUAGCUGGACCAAACAGCCCAUUGCUUUGUGACAUAGUUAAACCCCAGCAACAACUUAAAGUAGGCCUGAGAACUCACAUCCCUUUUCCUUACUGACUCAUUCCUACCCGAAUGGAGGAAUGUGGUGGCUGCACACUGAUUCCACAGGACACAUGGCAAGGAAAUGGACUGUUUGGCCCAGGCCAUCCAGAUUGGCUUUCUGAUCCACUUGAGCUUCUGGUCACCUUUCCUUUUCUAAAUUAGUUGGUCUAACUCUCUAUUCCCUUCAUACAUGCUUGCCCAAGCUCACCUUAACUGCUAUUAUUCAUAUCCAAAAAGGAACCCAAAAUAUGUGAAGCCAUUAUUUGGGCAGAUGUUGCCAAAUGACUUGAACUGAGGCAACAAAAUAAUAGCCAGGGAAGUGUUUUCCAAAUCUGGGUAAUGUUCCCUACCAGCAUCCUUGCAGAUAUUACACCCUGCCUCUGAUGCUCAAUCAAACUUACCUGAAUUGGGUCAGCAUUGCCUAAUCCCAUUCAUCACCAAGCGUGUGAUGGAUAUUCAUUUCCAGGCCCUGAGAGGCUUCUACAACAGCAACAUGACUUUUCCAAAGUGUCAGAGUUGUCUGUGACCAAGUUAAACUUCUAAUAAAUAUUCCUUGCUCAACUUUUGUUGUGAAUGAGAUACAGUCUCCAGUUCCUAUUUGGCCUACUUUAAACCAUGCAACUACAGCUAAGUUAUUUGCAAUUAGCUCCUGGAAACUUGUAAACCAUCUGUGAGAAUUACUUUGUCCCAGCAAAGGCACCUGGAAAACAUCACAAACAGAAGAUUUCAUCUAGAAUCAAAGCAGUAUAAAUAUUAGGAAACACUGGGAAUUGUUAGGAAUGACAGAGAGACAAGGUGACAGAAAGAGAACUAGAGUUCAUUCCUCAAUGUUUGGUUUCUGCAACAGAUGACUCGUUUGUCUGCAACUCUGAUGAUGUUCUUAUAGUCUGUAAGCAUUCUACCCGUGUUUGGAAAUCCUUGUGUAAAUUGAAAAUCUUUUAUAAAUCAUAAAUCCUCUGAGUGUUAAGUGUGUGUUAAGAACAAUUUGUCUAAAAU